rnacentral:sRNA from 1 species
ACCUGUUGCGGGCGAGGUGAGUGGGUGCCCGCAAUACCAGACAGAACACGUGCCACGGGAACAAUCGGGGCACUUCAGGGCGUU